UGGUGGAGUUUGUUUGGUUUGUCUGGUUUAUUCCGAUAACGAACGAGACCCCGUCCUACUUGCUAGACUGAGGAUUGUUGCUUGUCCUCAGCAUCUUCUUAGAGGGACAACUGGCGUUUAUCUAGCUACAUGAAAUGGGGCCAUAACA
rnacentral:rRNA from 1 species